ACUUCCUGAAUCCUGCAGAGAGUUACAGUGAUGAUGAGGUAUCUCUCUGGGGAAAUGCAAGUUUCAUUAAACCUCUUCUGGGUUUCUAAUCCUCAGUUGUAAAUUACUAAGGUACAGAAGCCAAAAUGCUGCAUGAGCCUGGGAACUUCCUUCUUUGCUAACCCCUUUUCAAGAUAGAUUUUUGAUUAUGUAGAGAUUUGGAACUUUUCCUCAAAAUAGGUGAUGCCUGUUGCCUCUCUGCUGUGUGACAAACGUGUGCUUGUUCAGGUGCAGGUAACACCACACCACCCACAGCAGAGCGCAGGAUUGUGUUUCUACCUGUUUCAGACCAAGAUUUUCUGACUAAUUCUGGCAGGCUGCAAGACUUCUAUGCAAUUAUGAGAUUAAAAACCUGCCAGUAUGCUCUCCUGUGCACCCAGACUCAAAGUUAUCCAUCAUAAAAGCUACACUUUUUUUUUCCUAUCUUUCAUAAACCCCUUUGGAUUGCUUGAGUCUUCUGGGUGCUGUAAAUUAUAUUAACUGGAGAGCAGAAAGGGAGGAUUUGUGAGAUGAGGGUCUAAUUCUCUUAUUGCAGGGUAUGGUGCUUUUUCUCUGUUUAUUCUUUUAUUUCAGGAUAUGGUGCUUUUUCUGCGUUAGGCCUCUUGAGUCCCUAUAGACCAGGAAUAUGUGAUAAUUUAAGGUCAUGCAGGUGCUCAUUUAGGAAGCAGCUGACCUAAAAACAGAACUGUUUUUGAAAAGACAAAUCUACUGUAUAAGCUGUCACUUCUGCCUGAUCUCUCCUCGGAAGAGAACAAAGGUGAAGAAAGGUGUCAGAAAGCAAAGAAGACUCAGGGCCAGUUUCAAGCAACAUUUCACUUCUCUGAGCACACAUAAUACUCAAAAGAUCCAAGAUCUUGACAUGAACAAAGCUGCAUCCUUUUUCCUUUUUUCAGUCAUGAUGUUCUGUACAGAGGGACUUCACUUUCAGAGGCCACCAAAACAAGUGAAAUCAACAUAAAUACCCAUAUGCACAGGAACACCUCGAGGUGCUGGAGAAGACAGCAGGGGAGCCGAAUGGCCAAUGCAGAUGUGAUUUCCUCAAAAUGUUUUGUCUUAAAGCUUAUCUCAGAGUAUGAUGAAAACAGGUGGUGGAAAGAAAAAAAGCCUAACAGACACAGAAAAUACAGCCAUUAGGCCAAAUGGAGGCAGUCAGAUAACCUCUUAAGGCCAGUUUCUGAGGUGCAUUAAAACUGCAACAGGAAAAAGGUAGGACUGGGUCUAUGUCUUUGUGUCCAAGGUGUAACAUUAUGAGUAGUUGGCCCCAAAUGUCUUCCAAGACUGUGCUGAUUCCCAGCGUGAAUCUGGAGAGCUUCCCUUGGUGAACUGCAAACUUUCUGAAGACAAACUGUGGCUGAAUUUGUGUUUCAGUGGUGUGAUUGAAACACCUGAGAUACCCAAGGGCCCCUUGCAGCAGAGGAAACCUAAACCUGAAUGGGUCCAGUGAACUGUUUCCAUCAACCAAAAUAUGGCCAUUCCUCCACAAUUUUUAUGCAGGUAUAGCCAAGAGAAAGAGAAUU